GAAGUAAUUUUAAUAUCUUAAAAGAUAUGAUAUCCUUGUGUCUUAUAUCGCCAAAAAAAAGAAAAGAAAAGACAAAACAGUCGCUGUUACAGUAAGUUU
rnacentral:ribozyme from 1 species